UACGUAGGGGGCGAGCGUUGUCCGGAAUUAUUGGGCGUAAAGAGCGUGUAGGCGGUUCGGUAAGUCUGUCGUGAAAACCUGGGGCUCAACCCCAGGCGUGCGGUGGAUACUGCCGGGCUAGAGGAUGGUAGAGGCGAGUGGAAUUCCCGGUGUAGCAGUGAAAUGCGUAGAGAUCGGGAGGAACAUCAGUUGCGAAGGCGGCUCUCUGGACCAGCACUGACACUGAGGCACGAAAGCGUGGGGAGCAAACAGG
rnacentral:rRNA from 1 species